rnacentral:piRNA from 1 species
UAACGUUUAAUGGUCCAGGUUGAAUUACU